ACUAGCACCACCUCCUUGAAAUGAGCUGAGUCCCUCUCACCUUCGCCUCAGAAGAACCAGUUUCUCUCUGCUUUCUUGUCUGUCAGCAACCUCUGUUCUAAAAACUCACCUGAAUCUCCAGCUGCACUCAAACUCUCUCUGUUUCAACCACUUCCACUUUUCUUCCCCGUCCUCCAACUCCACUGUCCUUUUUUUUUUUUACUUUUUUUUUUUUGCUAAAUUAAAGGGAGAAAUCAACUAAUCGGGACCAGCCCCCACCUCUCCCUGGCACCAUUUCUGUUCUGCACCUGCCUACUGAACUGGGCUCUCUGUGUAGUGUUUCUCAUUUCCACUGUCCUCGAGCCUUAGAGGGAAAAGACGCUCCCAAGAUGUGAAAUCUGUUCUCUUCCUCGCAUCCACGUGACUCUGCAGCCAUCUCUUUGCUGUGCAUUAUCUUAUGACCAGCAAUGCUUUCUUAUUUUGAAUCAAAUCCAAAGCUGGGCCCUGGUAUCUGAAGGUGCAGACACUCAUACUUCCAGGGUAAGGAGCUCACUGGGAAUGAGGCUCUCUGGACACUCCAAGUGGAGCACUUGAAGAAGCUGGUGGAUCACACAUGUUGGGAGGAUUUCAGUGGAGUGAAGUUCAGGAGGCAUGGAGCUGGCGACGACCACAGUGCCCUGCAGCAGAAGCAGCAGCAAGAGUCCCUCGGCCUUAGGAGGAGAAACGUGGGCCCUCAAGGAGACAUCUGGAGCACACGUCCCUGGGCAGAGAGGAUGGGCACUGGCAGGCUGGAAAAGGCACUGCAGAAGGGAACCGCCUUAUCUUUUCUACAUUUGACGCCGUGGAAAUGUGUUCUCUGUAACUUAGCAAAAUUAAAAUCGCCUGUCGCCUGCCGAGCCUCC